CCCUGCUCCAACAUUAUCAAGUAGCCCUGAACACCUUGAUUAGCUGGUUCAGGUGUGUUUGAUUGGGAUUGGAGCUGAAAUCUGCAGGACUGUAGUUCUCCAGGAGCAAGGUUGGAGACCCCUGUUCUAGAAUAUAAACCACAUAAAUGUUUUACACAUGUAAUAUGUUCACAUUCAGGGUUUUCUGACUGCAGCUGUGCCUUGAUAAGAAGGUGCAGCUUUAACUGAGGCAGUUGAGGCAAGACAUGUGACAUGUUCUUGUUUCUGGCGGCGUUAAUCUCAAGGUUUGGGUUUGCCAAGUACUUUGAGCACCUCUGCAUUUGUAGGAUUCUGACCCAGCGCCCUCAUGACAUCACCACACUGGGCGAGAGAGAGACUCACUCACUCACACAAGAGAACAGGAAUGCUAAGCUGUAAUAUUGGAGCUUGCAGACACCUGCGUGGAAGGCCGUAUGACCACAUGGAGGCUCUUCUACUGACCUCAGACAAGCCUCCAGACCCUAUCUCUGACCAUCAGGUCUCCCUCUGUAGAAUGUCCAUUUCCAUACACAGAGAGGCAGGGCUGUUGGGAAUGUCUGGCUUCAUGUUGUUAACACUAACAGCGUAGGAGGAGAGAUGUGCUUUUAGGAUGGAAUGUGCAUAGUUUUCAAGGUCUGUUGCUUCACUGCCUUGAGAACUUUAUAUAACUGACACAUUGAUUCAUAAAUCAUGCCAUGAUGAGUAACUCAAUAAACUAUUGUCUGGUUGUCUGAACAGUGAUGGUUCCACUGAGUGUAAAUUUUGUGAUGCGUGAUUUAACUUACAGCA